UUUACAGGAUCGAUCCAGUUAUUCUGACCAAAGCAGAAGCCACUGAGAUCCUUUCAAAAGAAGGCCAGAGACCUGGAACCUAUCUCCUUUACGAAGACAUAGAAAAAGAAAGAAUAUGUCUCUCUUUCAGAACCACAGCUGGGGAGGUAGUGCACUAUUCCAUAGUGCAAUUAAACGAUUUGUUCUACUUCAACGACUUUCCCUUUCCUUAUCUGGAAUCCAUUGUUCUUUACUACAAGAAGUACAAGUUCAAAGACACAAGAUUGACUCAUCAGGCAGUACUUAGUCCGUACAUCAAGUCUCAAAAAUCUAAACGAAUCUCUGGCUAUCUCAGAUUGGAUACCAUUCAAGAAUCGGAGAGAGAUUCUCAUGCUUGAUGUUGACAAAAUGGCGCUUCUGAAGAGAAACGUCAUCGUUUAUUUUAUGCCUGCCAUUUGGCUAGUUUUAGCUAGCAUACGUUGUAAAUUGCGCGUGUAAAGAUAUUUAAAUUAACACUAUGUUUGUACUGUGUAAAAAAAAACCUGUAUUGUGAUUGUUGUGCUUAAACCAUAUUCGUCAUGUAAAAUGUUUCUAUGUACCCUUAAACUUCCACUUACUAUGAUUUUAAACACUCAUCAUGACGAUAUUAUGUACAUAUUCUUAAAAUAAAAAAGUUCAUGUCUACUGC